UGGGAAUUAGCCAAGUUGGUAAGGCACCGGAUUUUGAUUCCGGGAUGCACUGGUUCGAGUCCAGUAUUCCCAGCCA
rnacentral:tRNA from 1 species